AAUCGCUUUGAGGUUCGUUGCUGGAACGAGGA
rnacentral:scRNA from 1 species